UGUCUCCCAUGGAGGCACCAGAAUGCCAUCACCGAGCCCAUUUUCCAUUAUGUCUCCAGAGGGUCUGACUUGGAAGCAGGAAAAUUAUGCAACUUUAAUCAAAGGCAAUAGAAUCAGUCCCCCCCAAACAGCUACACGACUAUCUGAUUUAAUUUCCAUUUUUCAACGGUGUUGAGUAUGCCCUGACAUCACAAUGCACGUGAAAUUCCAGGAUCAAGUCAUAUAGCCACUUACCCUGGAUUUUUGGCCAGGGUUGCAAACACCUGCUUGAUGAGUGAGUUCCACAAGGACUACAGCAUAGGAGGAAAAGUUUACUCUUAUAAGAUGAAAGACUCUUCAAGGCAAGAAAUUUGUCACUGUGAGAUGAGUGGCUGAAAUUGGAGGGUAGUGCUGAAGUGCCAUCAAGUGAUACUAAAUACAAGAAAGCUGUGACGUGUCUUAAAGAGAAAUACGUGUGUUGGACAACCUUCAUUCAAAGGUUUCAGGUUUUUUCCAAAUGGCAUUCAACAUGCUUUCCCGGGUUCCUAUCUGCCUUCCAAUGACUGGCACCUGGGCAGCAGAUGGUGCAAAUGGCCUACUAUAUAUUUCCUGGAUUGAUGAAGAGAACUGUCAGGAACCUGACUGCAUUGGCCUGAUGCCUCAUGGCAGAAAAGGCUGCUCAAAAGUGACAGUGACUGGAAAUAAUUUUGAU